GAUGAACGCUAGCGACAGGCUUAACACAUGCAAGUCGAGGGGCAGCGGGUAGAUGAGCUUGCUCAUUUAUGCCGGCGACCGGCGCACGGGUGAGUAACACGUAUCCAACCUGCCGAUGACUCGGGGAUAGCCUUUCGAAAGAAAGAUUAAUACCCGAUGGCAUAGUUCUUCCGCAUGGUAGGACUAUUAAAGAAUUUCGGUCAUCGAUGGGGAUGCGUUCCAUUAGCUUGUUGGCGGGGUAACGGCCCACCAAGGCAUCGAUGGAUAGGGGUUCUGAGAGGAAGGUCCCCCACAUUGGAACUGAGACACGGUCCAA
rnacentral:rRNA from 1 species